GCUCCAAUAGCUCAGUUGGUAGAGCACGACCUUGCCAAGGUCGGGGUCGCGAGUUCGAGUCUCGUUUCCCGCUCCA
rnacentral:tRNA from 1 species